rnacentral:rRNA from 1 species
AUUGAACGCUGGCGGCAGGCCUAACACAUGCCAGUCGAACGGUAACAGGAAGAAUUUUUCUUUCUUGCUGACGAGGGUCGGACGGGUGAGUAAUGUCUGGGAAACUGCCUGAUGGAGGGCGACAACUACUGGCAACGGUAGCUAAUACCGCAUAACGUCGCAAGACCAAAGAGGGGGAUCUUCGGGGCUCUCGCCAUCGGAUUUGCCCAGAUGGCAUUAGCUAGUAGGUGGAGUUACGGCUCACCUAGGCGACCAUCCCUAGAUGGUCUGAGAGGAUGACCAGCCACACGGGAACUGAGACAGGGUGCAGACUCCUGGAGGAGGCCGCAGUAGGGAAUAUUGCACAAUGGGCGGAAGGGUGAUGCAGCCAUGCAGCGUGUAUGCAGAAGGCGUUCGGGUUGUAAAGUACUUUAAGUGGGGAGGAAGGGAGUAACGUUAAUACCUGAGCUCAUUGACGUUACCCGCAGAAGAAGCACCGGCUAACUACGUG